rnacentral:rRNA from 1 species
UACGAAGGGGGCUAGCGUUGCUCGGAAUCACUGGGCGUAAAGCGCACGCAGGCGGAUCGUUAAGUCGGGGGUGAAAUCCCGAGGCUCAACCUCGGAACUGCCUUCGAUACUGGCGAUCUUUGAGUCCGGGAGAGGUGAGUGGAACUCCGAGUGUAGAGGUGAAAUUCGUAGAUAUUCGCAAGAACACCAGUGGCGAAGGCGGCUCACUGGCCCGAUACUGACGCUGAGGCACGAAAGCGUGGGGAGCAAACAGG